UACGUAGGGUGCAAGCGUUGUCCGGAAUUAUUGGGCGUAAAGAGCUCGUAGGCGGUUUGUCGCGUCUGCUGUGAAACUGGAGGCUCACCUCCAGCCUGCAGUGGGUACGGGCAGACUAGAGUGCGGUAGGGGAGAUUGGAAUUCCUGGUGUAGCGGUGGAAUGCGCAGAUAGUCAGGAGGAACACCGAGUGGCGAAGGCAGAUCUCUGGGCCUGUACUGACGCUGAGGAACGAAAGCGUGGGGAGCGAACAGG
rnacentral:rRNA from 1 species